ensembl:snRNA U6 U6 spliceosomal RNA
GUGCUCAAUUCAGCAGCACAUAUACUAUACUUGGAACAAUACAGAGAAGAUUAGCAUGGCCCCUGAGCAAGGAUGACAUGCAAAUAAAUGAAGCAUUCAUGUUUUUA